GGUUCAGUGACGUGUCAUGGAAAUAUGGUAAAGAACGUGAACUGUCCUAAAGAUCAGUACAUGGUGGUUAAGAAUGCAUCGUACCGUGGAUUGGCUACCACAAAGACAUGUGGUCUGAGUGACGAUUAUAGUUGUGAAGCUAAUGUAACAUGUAUUGUUAAGAAACAAUGUGAUGGUGAACAUGAGUGCAAAUUAAUUGUGGAUGAGAAGUUCUUCUCUGGUUAUCUGUGUACUGAAUUGAAAAAAUAUCUUUACUUUGAAUAUCAAUGCGUUGAUACAGCGACGCCUUUUAAUGAACAUUGUGUUGUGUAUACUGAGUACUGCCAAUAGAGAGGUUUAAAUUUUACUUCCACUAUAGCUACUUGUCGGUGACUUAAGAGCGGUUGUCUGUAAUAGUCAGGUAAGACGUGUAAAAUGAUAAAAUUCCAAAUCCUUCAAAUUUUGUCAGAAUGUAGGCCUAUAUGAAGUA